rnacentral:tRNA from 1 species
GGGCCCAUAGCUCAGCCAGGUUAGAGUGCUGGGCUCCAGACAGCAUUGGGUCUGUAGACCCGAAAGGGGAUGAUAUGUGUCUGGAAUGGAGAGACCCAGUGGUCCGGGGUUCGAAUCCCCGUGGGCCCA